ensembl:lncRNA
AUCCUGGGUUAGGGCCUGCUUUCAGAUCGGAUGUCUGCUAGGAUCCCCUGGUGCACUUCAUGGCUACUGAAUGCUGAAGCCGGCUGAGGUUUGCAUGUGAGUUCUUGUGAUGCUUGGUGUUACUACAUGGUGUUGGCAGUCUCUCACGUGUAUCUGGCACAGUCAGUCUCAUUAAUUUACUCUUGCACUGGGAACUGCUUUGGAACACACACAUACCAUUUCUUAUAAUUCUGUCCUGACUUUCCAUUCUUUACUUUCUCAGUCUCAUAGCCACUAUAUUUUUACUACAGGAGGCAGAAUAGCAGUGCCUUUGCCAUGUUAGAUUGGGAAGUAAAGCGAUAGUUUGAAUGCACCCUAACCAACCAACCAAGCCAAUCUCUUAAGUUUCAUAUGGAGGUUCCCAGGCUAGGGGUCAAAUCGGAGCUAUAGCCACCAGCCUACGCCAGAGCCACAGCAACGUGGGAUCCGAGCCACAUCUGUGACCUACACCACAGGUCACGGCAAUGCCAGAUCCUUAACCCACUGAGCAAGGCCAGGGAUCGAACCCGCAAGCUCAUGGUUCCUAAUCGGAUGUGUUAACCACUGUGCCACAAUGGGAACUCCUACAGACCUUAUCUUAAUGAAUGAACAAAAAACAGAUGGAGUGAGAGCGUAAUAGUGGGAAAUAGAUUAGGAUAGUUUGAUGAUGAUGAUGACUGUGGUUAUAAAGAGGUCGAGAAGGAGUAUGCCAAAGAGGAAUCCUAGUGGGGUAAGCCAAGGACGAGGUUGUAAUUAGACUAAUAUGGGCCUUACAGGAGAGUGCUUCCAUACAGACAAGCAAACAAUGCAGAAACAAACCUGAGGUUUGUGUGGGAUCAAAUACAAGGCUGCUGUGUGUGUGUGUAUUAUCUUGGGAGCAGCAAUUGCUAUGUGAGGACAGGGACUAAGUUUGUUUUGUUCUCCAUAUGAUCAUAGUACUUGAUAAAUAUUUAUUGAAUAAAUGACUGGUUUUCCACAUGGACUGGAAAAGAAAGCUUUUAAAUGCUACAAAAACAUCUUCUAAAAAGAGAACAGAAACUUUACAAAUGCUAACCAAUAGAUGGGUGAUCAUGAAAAUAGCAGAUCUUCAUAAAACUGCGAGUUCUUAGUCUAUUUGGAGUUUAGUAGAACUGGCAUCUGAUUGUUUGCCUCUCACCAAGCAGUGCUUUGCUGUUCAUGUCACUUUCAUUUUAUUGUGUCGAAAAUCCACUGUGAUGCCUAGCACAGUGCCUCCCCGAUACUAGCUCUUGAAUAAGUAUUUGCUGAAGAUUUCAAUCUGUGACUGAAGAGUAUUGACUAGAGGUGGGAGUAGGAUGGGGUGGGAGGUAUGAAACUGAAAGCAGACAGAAGAGAGAAUUGCCUUCCUUCCUUCGCUUAGAAUUCCCAGAGUGACCUGCGAUCCAGCGCCCUUUAGGUAGGCAGAUUUCCCACGUAACUCCAAGCUUGGUUAUGGGAAUCUUCAAAGGAAGAAUGCUUGCUAAAGUAAUGAUUGCAAAGGUGAGUUCAGCAUUGUUAGAUGAGGCAACCAUUCAUUUGAUCUGGAAAGUUAGGCUGGAAAAUGUAUUGGGGGGAAAAUAGUAAAAAGUAAUUCUAUACCUAACAGGAAUUUCAGUAGAAAAAUGGCUCUAAUUCAAGCGGUAUAAUGUUAACAUCAAUGCGCGUCUCGUGGCUCAAGCCCUGCGUAAUGCUUUGGAAAUAAAAGGAGAUUGUGUAAAGAAUUAGCAAUACAAGGCAUUUUUAAGUGCUUUAUUGCAGAGGCCUGUGAUACUCUGUGAAAUCUAUGCAGGCUUUUUCUCCCUGCUGUGCUUAAUUUCAGAAUCUGAUGCUAUUACCUAUCCUUGG